GCCAGCGUAGCUCAAUCGGAAGAGCGGCUCAUUCGUAAUGAGUAGGUUGGGGGUUCGAGUCCCCCCGCUGGCU
rnacentral:tRNA from 1 species